GUAGACUGACAGUUUACUGGUCACCUGCACUAACAGCCUGAGAGAAAAGGACACUGCAUAUCACAGAGAGAUGCAUAGAUGUUACACUCAGAAAGAGAGUGAACAACUAGAAGAUGUGGAAGAAAAUUCCAAGGGCCAAUUUUGAAACAAACCAGGCAGAGACCCAGAUGCAGAAUCCUGCAGGCUGAGGGAUGUUAGGAAGAGUUAGCCCACCACUGCUGCGCUGAAACCAGGAUGACGCAAACUGGGCCUCAGGCCAGGUGUAUUCCUUGGAGUAUAACUGAAGGUUUACUUGGUAAUUCUAUGUUUAACUUUUUUUGGAACUUCUGGACUAUCUUCCAAAGCAACAGUACCAUUGUACAUUUUCACCAGCCACGUAUGACAGUCACACUCUCUCCACAUUCUUGCCAAAACUUGUUAUCAUUUUUCAAAUAAAAGACAGCCUAGUGUGUAUCUGAAA
rnacentral:lncRNA from 1 species